rnacentral:ribozyme from 1 species
GCUUCUCCUUCUUUCAUUUUUUAUUUGUUUCCCCCCUUUUCGGGUUUGUUUUUGAAAAGAAAGAAUGACUUGUCUAAUAAUGGUAAUAACAAACAAAAGUGA